rnacentral:rRNA from 1 species
GAUGAACGCUGGCGGCGUGCCUAAUACAUGCAAGUCGAGCGAACGGACGAGAAGCUUGCUUUUCUGAUGUUAGCGGCGGACGGGUGAGUAACACGUGGAUAACCUACCUAUAAGACUGGGAUAACUUCGGGAAACCGGAGCUAAUACCGGGUAAUAUUUUGAACCGCAUGGUUCAAAAGUGAAAGACGGUCUUGCUGUCACUUAUAGAUGGAUCCGCGCUGCAUUAGCUAGUUGGUAAGGUAACGGCUUACCAAGGCAACGAUGCAUAGCCGACCUGAGAGGGGGAUCGGCCCCACUGGGACUGAGACACGGUCCGGACUCCUACGGGAGGCAGCAGUAGGGAAUCUUCCGCAAUGGGCGAAUGCCUGACGGAGCGACGCCGCGUGAGUGAUGAAGGUCUUCUGAUCGUAAAACUCUGUUAUUUGGGAAGAACAUAUGUGUAAGUAACUGUGCACAUCUUGACGGUUCCUAAUCAGAGAGCCACGGCUAACUUCGUG